CUCUACAUCUAUGCUAUUGAAAUAUAGUGUGAUUUCUAGUAUUCCUUGGCAGAUAAAUUUUUCAAUCGAGUGUUUUAAGCGAACUUUUAUUUUUUUUUUGUCAUGGCUGAUACACUCGAGUGUAUUUACAGCCGGAUCGUGUCAGUGUGCGAUGGUAAACGUCAAUUAUACUCAACAGUUCGUUAAGAGUUGGUGAAGUUGCUAGUAUCAAGCAACGUGAAACAUGGGUGACGAUAAUGGGCAAACAAACGAGUAUCGAUGCGGAGAUAGGCGCUACUAUUAGCGAGCUGGAAGUGCUCGUCGCAUCGGAGACGCAGCAGGGUGAAAAGGAAGACGAGGGAGAGGGGAAGGAAAAUAUAUACGACGGAAGGUCUGCGACGAGAAUGGAAUCGCGGCACCCACGCAAGAAUCGUCUACGUAGCAUCGUCGGGAUAUGUCUGUUCCUUGCGCUGACCGGGAUCAUUUACCUGGGCUAUUUUUGUCCCGAUCAUGUGUGCGCUUUGACAAACCGCGAGAUCAGGGAAUCUAUUGGAUUGUCAGAGAGCUUGUCCAUCGCCCAUGGAUCACCUGUCGCUGGUUCCGCUGCGCUCUCUUCAGUUUCCAUUGAGCUUGAUAGAAAUGGUUUGCUCUCGGUACAUCCCGCCUUCAAGCUACAGAGCAUCCAGGGUAGUCUAGGCUAUGAUGACAUCUUUGCCAAUGACACCUUUCAGUUUGAUAUCAAUGCUCACGAUGUUAUGGUCUUCCUUCACAUACAAAAAACAGGUGGCACACUAUUUGGCAAACAUCUGGUGCGAGAUUUAGAAUUACAAAGACCAUGCUCAUGUCAACGACGACGCAAGCGUUGCUUCUGUUUCCGUCCAAAUCAUAACGAAAAUUGGUUAUUCUCACGAUACUCUACUGGCUGGAAGUGUGGAUUACAUGCGGAUUGGACCGAAUUGACAAAUUGUGUUGAUACGGAACUCAAUAAAAUUGAAGGAGAUGGAAUUAAGCGCCGUUACUUUUACAUAACUAUCAUAAGGGAUCCCGUUGCAAGAUAUCUCUCUGAAUUUAGGCACGUGCAGAGAGGUGCUACAUGGAGAGGUGCUCGUCAUUGGUGCGGAGGUACUCAAGCAAAUAUACCUCAAUGUUAUGAUGGUCCCAAUUGGAAAGGUGUUACCCUGGAAGAGUUUAUGGAAUGCCCUUACAAUUUGGCAAGAAAUCGUCAAACAAGAAUGCUGGCAGACUUAUCGAUAGUUGGCUGUUAUAACUCCACUCUUAGCAAAACUGAUAAAGAACGUCUAAUAUUGGCUAGCGCUAAACACAACUUACAAUUUAUGCCUUUCUUCAUGUUGACUGAAUACCAGAAGGUGGGGCAGUACACCUUCGAAGAAACAUUUAAAAUGCGAUUUGCGGUUGCAUUUGAGCAGCAUAAUGCCACACUUAGUGCAGCCACUAUGGCAACCCUCAGUACAGAACAAUUAGAUGCCGUACGUAAACUCAACAGUCUGGAUCUAGAACUCUACGAAUUUGCAAAGAAUCUUGCUUUUCAAAGAUUUAAACGGCUUAGAGAUCGUGAUCCACAUUUCGUACAACGAUUCCAACACCUUGGUGAAUUGCCAUUGAGGCAAAGUGCCACAGAAUUUAAUUGGGAUUCUGUCAUUGAAGACACUACGGAUAACGAAUGAUGUAUUACAUUACAAGACAAUAAUAUUCAGUGAUAAGAUGUGAUGUCGUAACAUCUCUUCAUUGAAAGACGAGAAAGAGUUGAGUCCACACACAGCAAAGUAAAAAUACAUAAAAGUCAAGGAAUGUAACGUCAUUGGUUGGCAUAUCAACAAACAAAAUGGAAAAGAUACAAAUUAGGAACAAUGAAAAGGUAUUCGGAAUUGUGAAGAAUGUAGAGGGUAACCGGAAUCGAACUCAUGAAAAUGGGCUCUGCAGCAACGAGCGAUACGCGUCAUCGCGCAGAACUGCGAUGUGUGGGGAAAACGCGUCAGCAACGAGAGUGAUGUCGUAAAAUGACGUAUUAAACGCGAUCGAAGAGCGAGCGUAUAUCAGAAUUUAUUAAACAAAAUAAAGAAAAAUUAAUACGUUACGAGUUCUUUUCUUUUCGUAUUUUUUCACAUAUCAGAAGUAGUGAACCUCGGGCCUUGAUAUUACGAUGAGAAGAAGAACGAUGGAAUGGGACGCCAUAAGUCAAGGCGUUAUGCCGAGUGUGACGAUCCGAAACGGAAAAGACGGCGUUCAUCUCAGUCGACAUCAGGAGACGAAUGUUUCGAUAGGUUAGAAUGCAUCGUGGAUAGCCUAGAUAGACAAUCUCAUACACGGGAUUCAUGCACAAAGAUGACGAACUUAUGAUAUCUCCGUCGAAAGAUGACUUAGAGAAGUGAUCAAGAUGAAUUAGCUGCACAAUACGA